rnacentral:rRNA from 1 species
UGCGCAGGCGGAUUGUUAAGCAAGACGUGAAAUCCCCGGGCUUAACCUGGGAAUGGCGUUUUGAACUGGCAGUCUAGAGUGCGUCAGAGGGGGUGGAAUUCCACGUGUAGCAGUGAAAUGCGUAGAGAUGUGGAGGAACACCGAUGGCGAAGGCAGCCCCCUCGGGAUGACACUGACGCUCAUGUACGAAAGCGUGGGUAGCAAACA